AACGGGGUAGAGUAAAAGGUUAACUCAUUAGGCUCAUGUUCUAAAAUCAUGGGUUCAAAUCCCAUCCCCGUAC
rnacentral:tRNA from 1 species